GGUCCAAUGGUCUAGUGGUAUGAUUGUCGCUUAGGGAAUCUCGAUUCCAGUUCAUUCGAAUCAAAAGAGGAUAGAUCUAUAAUGCGACAGGCCCCGGGUUCAAAUCCCGGUUGGACCC